rnacentral:rRNA from 1 species
AUUGAACGCUGGCGGCAGGCCUAACACAUGCAAGUCGAGCGGAGCGGCGGACGGGCGAGUAAGUCCUAGGAAUCUGCCUGGUAGUGGGGGAUAACGUCCGGAAACGGGCGCUAAUACCGCAUACUAUCAGAUGAGCCUAGUGCGGAUUAGCUAGUUGGUGGGGUAAAGGCCUACCAAGGCGACGAUCCGUAACUGGUCUGAGAGGAUGAUCAGGCACACGGGAACUGAGACACGGUCCAGACUCCUACGGGAGGCAGCAGUGGGGAAUAUUGGACAAUGGGCGAAAGCCUGACGCAGCCAUGCCGCGUGUGUGAAGAAGGUCUUCGGAUUGUAAAGCACUUUAAGUUGGGAGGCGUUACCAGCAGAAGAAGCACCGGCUAACUUCGUGCCAGCAGCCGCGGUAAUUC